AUAGCAAAUGGGCUAUUCCUCAGCCUACAAAAGGAUGGAAAUUCUGAUACAUCAUACAACAUGGAUGAACCUUGAAGAAUUAUGCUAAAUGAAAUAAGCCAUUUAUAAAAGGACAUUUACCGCUUCAUGAUUUUGUUGAUGAUAUUCCUGGAGUAGUUACAUUCAUGGAGAAAGAAAGUGGAAUGGUGCAUUUUACCUCAAUGGAAAAUGUUUCAAAUGAAAACAAAAUAAAAAUUCACCUCCAACCAAUCUACUGAAUGGCUAGAAUUUGAAAGGCCAACACAUGAGCUGCUGCAAGGCUGGAGAAAGGAAGUUUCAGACACCACAGGAGAAAGCAGAAGACAUUGGCAGCUGGUGGAGAGACACGUGUAGACAUGUAGGGGCUUCGGGGUCUCUCCUCAAAGGACAACAGGUGCAGAGUGGCCGGCACUUGGGAACUUUGCCUUCACAUUGACCUGGGCAAAGGGCUGCCCACAGCCCUAUUCUGAUGCCUGCUGUGCAUGACAGAGACGGAGAAAGAAGGAAGAAGGGGAAGGGGAGAAAGGGGAGAAAGUGUUUUCUGUUCACAGGUGGGAAAAGAGGAGACAGGAGCUUCGAUGAGGCUGCUGUCAUGAGUGAUACAUACAGGGAUGACCAGAGCUGGAAUAAACUGAGGUGAGAAUGACAAAUAUCAGAGGUGGCUGUGCGCAGGUACCUCUGGAAAGGAGAAAGGGCUUGGUGUGGAGCAGGCCUAUCAGCUAUGGCUUCAGACUUCGGGGAGGGGAGGUCCUUGCAGGUCUAUUUCCUCCUCUGGGCCUCUCUCCCGCAUCCUCUUCUCUCUCCUCUCUUUGCCGAAUUCCACUCCAGCUCUCAGCUUGGACACCACCCCUCAGGGAGCCUUUCCUGCCUUCCCCACGGCACCCACGCUUGACACGCUGAUGUCUGUCUUCCCUGAAGCUGCUGUCUUGUCCCUGCUGCUCUGCAGGCCGCUAGCAACCAGCAUGGACCGGAACCACUGCUCCAGCGCCAAGGCGGUGCUCAGCAAGUGUCGGCUGAAUGAGGGGAUGAGGAAUGGUGUGCUUGAAUGACCGUGGGUCCUGGGUGAGCCGCCAGGGAUGCGACAAACCUAGAACCCCUGGGUGACCCCUCCUAUGUUGGGUGGGCUGGUCCCAGAGCCACCCAGAUGCCCCAAGACCCCCGCCGCCGACUUUGGGGGAUGGGAGGGAAUGGGAAGGGUGGGGAAUGGGGGCCGUGGACUCCACAUCAUAUCCACGGGUAAAAUGUUCUCAAGGAACAGUUUGUUUUCAUUUCAAAGGCUCAUCCAAUAUAUCGGGUCAAGGUUUAUCAGAAAAUUUUCUGAGAUCUUACUGUUUUCCCUAUAUCGGAAAGAAUUUCCAAAAAAUAGUGUUUUAAAGAUGUGUAAUUGUCACUGGAGUGAGGUGGAGCCACGUCCAGGAGGGCGGGUGGCAGUUUCCGGGCAGAAGUCAGGGCCUCAGCCUGGAUGCAUUCUUGCCUCCCCCAAGAUGCUGAAAUGCUUGCCCAUUCCAGCCUCCGAGGAAAGCAGGAGACCCACAGGAAGGGUGGCUCCCUGCCUGCCUUCCACCACCUCCCUGCUAUAAACAAAAAGGUCUCAAUCAAUUUAGGAAGUCUAUUUUGCCAAGGUUAGGGACGCGCCUGUGACACAGCCUCAGGAGGUCCUGACGACAUGCACCCAAGGUGAUGGGGCACAGCUUGGUUUGAUACAUUUUAGGGAGAUGUGAGACCUCAAUCAAUGUAUGUAAGAUGAACAUUGGUUUGGUCUGGAAAGGCGGGGACAACUCGAAACAGGGAGGAGGCUUCCAGGUCAUAGGAAGAUAAAGAGACAAACGGUUGCAUUCUUUUGAAUUUCUGAUCAGCCUUUCUAAAGGGAGCAAUCAGAUACGCAUUCGUCUCAGUGAGCAGAAGGGUGACUUUUGAGUUCUGUCUGUCCUUUGUCUGCAAGGAACUUCCUUGUGGACAAAUUGUGAGGGAGGUGUGUAGCUUUUUUAUCUUAGUAGGUAUCUCUUUUAGGAAUAGAAUGGGAGGCAGGUUUGCCCUAACCAGUUCCCAUCUUGACCUUUCCCUUUGGCUUAGUGACUUGGGGAGUCCCAAGAUUUAUUUUCCUUUCACACUGGGCUGCCCUGUCUUACUCAGAACCAGCCUGCCUCCACCCCCAACCCAGCACACCUGUGUCCUCUCCUCUUCUGGCCAGAGGGUAUGGUGGGAAUGUGAACCCUGGCCCAGGUCAGGCCCAACCAGGCCCUGGUGGCCUCUGCAGGGACAGGCUCCCUGUACAGGGAACUGGGGAAUGCUGGCCCGGCAGACAAGCCCAUCUGUACUGUGCACUUUUAUGGGGCGUUGAGGGAGCUAGCUCUGAGUGAAGCUCUCCCAGGCCCCAGCCAUCCCUACCACCUGUCCCACCACACCCGAGCUGCCCACAUUCCCAAGCCCUGAGCCUCCACCCUGGACUUGGCCUUGACUGGUGAAUAAAUCGCAGGCUGUGCAGUCUGCCUGACCACCAUACCCU
ensembl:lncRNA novel transcript